AGUGAUAAUUGCCUAGGAGAUACACCUGUUUCUCAUGCCGAACACAGAAGUUAAGCCCUAGAACGCCGGAAGUAGUUGGGGGUUGCCCCCUGUGAGAUAAGGUAGUCGCUUAGCA
rnacentral:rRNA from 1 species